CGCCAGACUCCUACGGGAGGCAGCAGUGGGGAAUAUUGCACAAUGGGGGAAACCCUGAUGCAGCGACGCCGCGUGAGCGAUGAAGUAUUUCGGUAUGUAAAGCUCUAUCAGCAGGGAAGAAAAUGACGGUACCUGACUAAGAAGCCCCGGCUAACUACGUGCCAGCAGCCGCGGUAAUACGUAGGGGGCAAGCGUUAUCCGGAUUUACUGGGUGUAAAGGGAGCGUAGACGGCAUGGCAAGCCAGAUGUGAAAUACCGGGGCUCAACCCCGGGACUGCAUUUGGAACUGUUAAGCUGGAGUGUCGGAGAGGCAGGCGGAAUUCCUGGUGUAGCGGUGAAAUGCGUAGAUAUCAGGAGGAACACCAGUGGCGAAGGCGGCUUACUGGACUGUAACUGACGUUGAGGCUCGAAAGCGUGGGGAGCAAACAGGAUUAGAUACCCUGGUAC
rnacentral:rRNA from 1 species